CUCUCCCUGUCUAACACCAGUACCUUCCGAGGCAGUGUAGCGCUCUGGCUUUGUAAGGGGAUAGAGUACCAGGCUCUCUUCCCUCCCCACUGGACAGUGUUCCACCUGGGGCCUAAAGAGAAGCCAACAGU